AUGCUCGCUUUGGCAGCACAUACACAAAAAUUGGAAAGAGAAGAUUAGCAAGGCCUCUGCCCAAGGAUGAUAGGCAAUCUGUGAAGUGUUUCAUAUUUUU
ensembl:snRNA U6 U6 spliceosomal RNA